rnacentral:tRNA from 1 species
GGGGCUGUAGCUCAGCUGGGAGAGCGCUACAAUCGCACUGUAGAGGCCAGGGGUUCGAAUCACCUCAGCUCCACCA